rnacentral:rRNA from 1 species
UACGGGGGGGGCAAGCGUUGUUCGGAAUUACUGGGCGUAAAGGGCUCGUAGGCGGCCAACUAAGUCGGAUGUGAAAUCCCCAGGCUUAACCUGGGAACUGCAUCCGAUACUGGAUGGCUUGAAUCCGGGAGAGGGAUGCAGAAUUCCAGGUGUAGCGGUGAAAUGCGUAGAUAUCUGGAGGAAUACCGGUGGCGAAGGCGGUAUCCUGGACCGGCAUUGACGCUGAGUGAGCGAAAGCCAGGGGAGCAAACGGG